rfam:Podospora anserina genomic DNA, chromosome 6.
GUCGACAAUACUUCAGAGAAUCAUUUCUAUAGUAGUCGUCCUCUUUUGUGUUCCCUAAAGGAGCCACAGAUCCCACCCGGGUUGAUGAACGAUAUCCUCGGCGCCCAACAGUGAGGAGCCUUUUUUUACUCUCGACCUGCCUGCAAAGGUGGCGGUCGCUGGCCUUUGUGCUGCGGCUGUAUAGAGAGUGGCGAUGAUCUGUACCCCGAUUUCUCGAGGUCUUGCCUUCGGGCGCUUGAACGGGGUGGGUGUCGAUGGAAGUCUGACCGGC